GCUGGACAACACACACACACACACACAGGAGGUGUGUAACGGAUUGAACCCCCCCUCAUAGCUGCGCUGUCUUCGAGGUCGCAGGCGGAUGAGACCACAGCUGCUUGGACAUAAAUUUCCAAAAGGAAUGUCGGAGCACUCGGCAUAAAAACCAAGACUGUGUGUGUGUGUGUGUGUGUGUGUGUGUGUGUGUGCAGGAGGAGGAGGAGGAGGAGUGUGUGUGUGUGUGUGUGUGUGUGAGGAGUAGUGUGUGCAGGAGGAGGAGUGUGUGUGUGUGUGCAGGAGGAGGAGGAGGAGGAGUGUGUGUGUGCAGGAGGAGGAGUGUGUGUGUGUGAGGAGGAGUGUGUGUGUGUGCGUGUAGGAGAAGGAGUGUGUGUGUGUGUGUGCAGGAGGAGUAGUGUGUG
ensembl:lncRNA